rnacentral:rRNA from 1 species
AGAGUUUGAUCAUGGCUCAGGAUGAACGCUGGCGGCGUGCUUAACACAUGCAAGUCGAACGGAGUUGUGUGAAAGCUUGCUUUCAAACAACUUAGUGGCGGACGGGUGAGUAACGCGUGGGUAACCUGCCUCAUACAGGGGGAUAACAGCUGGAAACGGCUGCUAACACCGCAUAACAUAGUUGUGCCGCAUGACACGAUUAUCAAAUAUUUAUAGGUAUGAGAUGGGCCCGCGUCUGAUUAGCUAGUUGGUGGGGUAAAGGCCUACCAAGGCGACGAUCAGUAGCCGGCUUGAGAGAGUGACCGGCCACAUUGGGACUGAGACACGGCCCAAACUCCUACGGGAGGCAGCAGUGGGGAAUAUUGCACAAUGGGGGAAACCCUGAUGCAGCGACGCCGCGUGAGUGAAGAAGUAUUUCGGUAUGUAAAGCUCUAUCAGCAGGGAAGAUAAUGACAGUACCUGACUAAGAAGCCCCGGCUAACUACGUGCCAGCAGCCGCGGUAAUACGUAGGGGGCAAGCGUUAUCCGGAUUUACUGGGUGUAAAGGGAGCGUAGGUGGUUCGGUAAGUCAGAAGUGAAAGCCCAGGGCUCAACCCUGGGACUGCUUUUGAAACUAUCGGACUAGAGUGCAGGAGAGGUAAGUGGAAUUCCUAGUGUAGCGGUGAAAUGCGUAGAUAUUAGGAGGAACACCAGAGGCGAAGGCGGCUUACUGGACUGUAACUGACACUGAGGCUCGAAAGCGUGGGGAGCAAACAGGAUUAGAUACCCUGGUAGUCCACGCCGUAAACGGUGAAUACUAGCUGUCGGGGCCAUCACGGCUUCGGUGGCGCAGCUAACGCAAUAAGUAUUCCACCUGGGGAGUACGUUCGCAAGAAUGAAACUCAAAGGAAUUGACGG